AGUGAAUGCUGGCGGUAGGCCUAACACAUGCAAGUCGAACGGCAGCACAGUAAGAGCUUGCUCUUACGGGUGGCGAGUGGCGGACGGGUGAGGAAUACAUCGGAAUCUACUUUUUCGUGGGGGAUAACGUAGGGAAACUUACGCUAAUACCGCAUACGACCUACGGGUGAAAGCAGGGGAUCUUCGGACCUUGCGCGAUUGAAUGAGCCGAUGUCGGAUUAGCUAGUUGGCGGGGUAAAGGCCCACCAAGGCGACGAUCCGUAGCUGGUCUGAGAGGAUGAUCAGCCACACUGGAACUGAGACACGGUCCAGACUCCUACGGGAGGCAGCAGUGGGGAAUAUUGGACAAUGGGCGCAAGCCUGAUCCAGCCAUACCGCGUGGGUGAAGAAGGCCUUCGGGUUGUAAAGCCCUUCUGUUGGGAAAGAAAAGCAGCAGGUUAAUACCCCGCUGUUCUGACGGUACCCAAAGAAUAAGCACCGGCUAACUUCGUG
rnacentral:rRNA from 1 species